rnacentral:lncRNA from 1 species
GGUCUUACGAGCUUUCUGGAACGGCCCUGUUGGCCCCAAAACAACUCAUUUCUGGGGGCCAGUCGCCAAUGGGGGUUUUGUCGUUGCUGUAAGUAUACUCCCAUCACCUGCACUCUUCCAAUUUGUUCUUAGUACCGAUAUGCUUUCUUCCUGCUCUCGUCAGUCUCUUAUGUUAUUGAGAGAUUGGAUAAGCCGAAAGAAGAAGAAAAAGAGAGAACUUGAUACAUCAUCACCAACCUUAAGCUAUUUCUUUCUUGUUCUCAUCUUCCAAGAGAUCAGAUGGGAAACUGCAAUUUGCUCAAAGAGAAAGGAACAGUUCUGACUGUUGUUGUCCUAAAGUUUUCCAGAUGACAACAAACACAUGGUAAUCUCUCAAGAAAUUGGCAAGUCAAUCAAUAAUCAAGAUUCUGCUGUAAAAUAAUAGAUUGCUUAAAUUAUGCAGACAUUAUUAGCCUGAUGAAUUAAUUCUAAUGAGUGAUAAUUCCAACAUACUGGAUAUGAUUCUCCUCCACUGUUGAUCUGUUUGACAACUGCUGCUGCUGCUCUUCAGGCAAUGGCUGACAUGAAAAAACCUGCUGAA